AUUCCUUCCUCUAUCUCCUUCUCUCCUCCACCUCCCACACCGCAUCACAGCCAAGCUUUGCUGUUGCUUUUUCUGCUGCGGGCCAAGGCCGCCCAUGAGCUGAAACCGGUGAAAGGGAGGCGUGGCGGCGCUGCAGGAUGAAGCAGGCGAGUGGUGCUGCGAAGACAUCUCCGUCAUGUGUGGCGAGGCCAUGGGGGCACUGCUAUGACCCGUUCUAGCCAUGAGAGCUACCCCAAGCGGCACAGCACCCUGCUACCGCCUGCUCGCUCGAUGCUACAACCAGUUCGUCUGAUGUUACAGACGGCAUAGCACCUUGCUACAACUGGCGUCGCCGCUGGUAGAGCUAUCUGAGGCCGGUCACAGUGACCUUCCAUGCCGAAAGCUACAAACACCUCUCCACAGAGCUGGAACCUGCGGCGCCCAAAGUUGCAACCACUCUGGGGAAAAGCUGUAACCAUGGCCAGAUUUUGCAUUUUUGGUACUACCGUUUAUUUUUUUGCUGGAACCAGCACAAGUUUUUGCUACCAGCUGUUUUUGGGUUUGUUUGAACCAGUCCCCAUUUUUGUAAUUUUUGCUACCAUCGGCGUUUUAGUUUGCUGGAGCGAGCUUCAAUUUUUGCUACCACUGGCAUUUUUCAUUUUCUGGAACAACGUCCAAUUUGCAUGAUUUGCUACCACGGUAUUUUUGAUUUGCUGGAACCAUGCCAUUUUUUGCUACAGCCGCCUUUUUGGAUGCGAACCACAUCGUCGUCGCCAUUGAAUCUGCAGGGAGGCGAGGGGGGAGGCAACACCGGCGAGGGGUGAGCGUCGGCGGCGACCGCCGACGGCAAGGGACGGAGAGCUUCGAGGCCGGUCGUCUUGCUCGGGUUAAUCGGGCGCGGGGUCGCUCGGGAUAAUCAACGGGGCGGGGUAAUCAAGGGGGCCUGGGGCCAGCCGUGUCGCUCGAGAAGAAAAGGAAGGCGAGGGACGGGGAAGAAGAGGAUGCGGUAGCCAGAUCAAACGGCUGUGCUGCGCUGCAUCGGACGGCUCGGGUGCGACGCGCCGGUGCCUAGUAGCCGCCUAAUGAAGAAUAAGCAUACGCUAUGAGAGUACUCAGGUGUAUGGAUAUUGCCGGUUCGCUUCACUCCUCCUUUCACGAAAAGGAGUUUUUUUUUUCCUUUUGAAAGGAGAUUGGCACGGAGAGUCACCAAAGAAGUCUCGCUAUUUGAAAUGCUAGUAGACCAUAAAGCCUGGCCAUCAAAAUUACCC
rnacentral:rRNA from 1 species